AACCUCCGCAAUGUGAGAAAUCGCGACGGGGGGAUCCCAAGUGCCAUUCUUAACGGGAUGGCUUUUCAUUAGUGUAAAGAGCUUUUGGAAUAAGAGCUGGGCAAGACCGGUACCAGCCGCCGCGGUAACACCGGCAGCUCCAGUGGUAACAAUUUUUAUUGGGCCUAAAGCGUCCGUAGCCGGUUUAAUAAGUCUCUGGUGAAAUCCUGCAGCUUAACUGUGGGAAUUGCUGGAGAUACUAUUAGACUUGAGACCGGGAGAGGUUAGAGGUACUCCCAGGGUAGAGGUGAAAUUCUGUAAUCCUGGGAGGACCGCCUGUUGCGAAGGCGUCUAACUGGAACGGUUCUGACGGUGAGGGACGAAAGUUAGGGGCGCGAACCGGAUUAGAUACCCGGGUAGUCCUAACUGUAAACGAUGCGGACUUGGUGUUGGGGUGGCUUUGAGCUGCUUCAGUGCCGAAGGGAAGCUGUUAAGUCCGCCGCCUGGGAAGUACGGUCGCAAGACUGAAACUUAAAGGAAGU
rnacentral:rRNA from 1 species